rnacentral:rRNA from 1 species
GAUGAACGCUGGCGGCGUGCUUAACACAUGCAAGUCGAACGAUGAAGCCCAGCUUGCUGGGUGGAUUAGUGGCGAACGGGUGAGUAACACGUGAGUAACCUGCCCUUAACUCUGGGAUAAGCCUGGGAAACUGGGUCUAAUACCGGAUAGGAGCGCCUACCGCAUGGUGGGUGUUGGAAAGAUUUAUCGGUUUUGGAUGGACUCGCGGCCUAUCAGCUUGUUGGUGAGGUAAUGGCUCACCAAGGCGACGACGGGUAGCCGGCCUGAGCGGGUGACCGGCCACACUGGGACUGAGACACGGCCCAGACUCCUACGGGAGGCAGCAGUGGGGAAUAUUGCACAAUGGGCGAAAGCCUGAUGCAGCGACGCCGCGUGAGGGAUGACGGCCUUCGGGUUGUAAACCUCUUUCAGUAGGGAAGAAGCGAAAGUGACGGUACCUGCAGAAGAAGCACCGGCUAACUACGUG